UCCCUUCUUUUUCCUUUUAAUUAAAGUGAACAAAGAAGGAAGUGAGAAAGAGGAAGUCAUUCUAUUCCAACUGAAAGAAGAUAAGGAAAAGAUGGAAAACAAGA
rnacentral:ribozyme from 1 species